UCUUUAACUGAUAUGAAGAGCUUGCUCUGAUUUGAUUCUAUCUGACAAAGAGUGGCGAACGGGUGAGUAACACGUGGGUAACCUACCUCUUAGCAGGGGAUAACAUUUGGAAACAAGUGCUAAUACCGUAUAAUACCAACAACCGCAUGGUUGUUGGUUGAAAGAUGGUUCUGCUAUCACUAAGAGAUGGACCCGCGGUGCAUUAGCUAGUUGGUAAGGUAACGGCUUACCAAGGCAAUGAUGCAUAGCCGAGUUGAGAGACUGAUCGGCCACAAUGGGACUGAGACACGGCCCAUACUCCUACGGGAGGCAGCAGUAGGGAAUCUUCCACAAUGGGCGCAAGCCUGAUGGAGCAACGCCGCGUGUGUGAUGAAGGGUUUCGGCUCGUAAAACACUGUUAUAAGAGAAGAACGGCACUGAGAGUAACUGUUCAGUGUGUGACGGUAUCUUACCAGAAAGGAACGGCUAAAUACGUGCCAGCAGCCGCGGUAAUACGUAUGUUCCAAGCGUUAUCCGGAUUUAUUGGGCGUAAAGCGAGCGCAGACGGUUAUUUAAGUCUGAAGUGAAAGCCCUCAGCUCAACUGAGGAAUGGCUUUGGAAACUGGAUGACUUGAGUGCAGUAGAGGAAAGUGGAACUCCAUGUGUAGCGGUGAAAUGCGUAGAUAUAUGGAAGAACACCAGUGGCGAAGGCGGCUUUCUGGACUGUAACUGACGUUGAGGCUCGAAAGUGUGGGUAGCAAACAGGAUUAGAUACCCUGGUAGUCCACACCGU
rnacentral:rRNA from 1 species